UAGAGUUUGAUCCUGGCUCAGAUUGAACGCUAGCGGGAUGCCUUACACAUGCAAGUCGAACGGCAGCACGGACUUCGGUCUGGCGGCGAGUGGCGAACGGGUGAGUAAUGUAUCGGAACGUGCCCAGUAGCGGGGGAUAACUACGCGAAAGCGUAGCUAAUACCGCAUACGCCCUAAGGGGGAAAGCGGGGGAUCGAAAGACCUCGCACUAUUGGAGCGGCCGAUAUCGGAUUAGCUAGUUGGUGGGGUAAUGGCUCACCAAGGCGACGAUCCGUAGCUGGUUUGAGAGGACGACCAGCCACACUGGGACUGAGACACGGCCCAGACUCCUACGGGAGGCAGCAGUGGGGAAUUUUGGACAAUGGGGGAAACCCUGAUCCAGCCAUCCCGCGUGUGCGAUGAAGGCCUUCGGGUUGUAAAGCACUUUUGGCAGGAAAGAAACGUCCCGGGAUAAUACCCCGGGAAACUGACGGUACCUGCAGAAUAAGCACCGGCUAACUACGUGCCAGCAGCCGCGGUAAUACGUAGGGUGCAAGCGUUAAUCGGAAUUACUGGGCGUAAAGCGUGCGCAGGCGGUUCGGAAAGAAAGAUGUGAAAUCCCAGAGCUUAACUUUGGAACUGCAUUUUUAACUACCGAGCUAGAGUGUGUCAGAGGGAGGUGGAAUUCCGCGUGUAGCAGUGAAAUGCGUAGAUAUGCGGAGGAACACCGAUGGCGAAGGCAGCCUCCUGG
rnacentral:rRNA from 1 species